GAUGAACGCUGGCGGCGUGCCUAACACAUGCAAGUCGAGCGGCAGCGAGGGGUGCUUGCACCCUGUCGGCGAGCGGCGGACGGCUGAGUAACGCGUGGGAACGUGCCCCAAAGUGAGGAAUAACUGCCCGAAAGGGUAGCUAAUACCGCAUAUUAUCUUCGGAUCAAAGGAUUUAUCCGCUUUGGGAGCGGCUCGCGUCGGAUUAGGUAGUUGGUGAGGUAAUGGCUCACCACGCCGACGAUCCGUAGCUGGUCUGAGAGGAUGACCAGCCAGACUGGAACUGAGACACGGUCCAGAAUCCUACGGGAGGCAGCAGUGAGGAAUCUUCCACAAUGGGCGAAAGCCUGAUGGAGCAACGCCGCGUGCAGGACGAAGGCCUUCGGGUUGUAAACUGCUUUUAUAAGUGAGGAAUAUGACGGUAACUGAUGAAUAAGGAUCGGCUAACUACGUG
rnacentral:rRNA from 1 species